rnacentral:sRNA from 1 species
CUUAGCUUUUAGACUUCAAAAAUUCUAUCGUAAGAUUUAUCUUACUUUGAAUGAUUAAUUUUAAUUAUUGAAAGACAGUUGAUUAGAUGAAAUUUACAUCUUUGAUUGACAUAAAUAAUGCAGUCUUUUACUUUUUUUGGUCAGGUACUGGUAGUUAACUCUCAAGGAGAAAUUUCACGGUUGAGCACCAAAAAGGAAGUGAUCAUGAAAGGAAAUAUCAACAAUUAUUUUAAAUUGGGUCAAGAAGGGAAGUAUCGCGUCUACCACAAUCAAUACUCCACCAAUUCAUUUGCUUUGAAUAAGCACCAGCACAGAGAAGAUCAUGAUAAGAGAAGGCAUCUUGCACAUAAAUUCUGUCUGACGCCAGCAGGAGAGUUCAAAUGGAACGGUUCUGUCCAUGGGUCCAAAGUUCUUACCAUAUCUACUCUGAGACUGACUAUCACUCAAUUAGAAAACAACAUCCCUUCAUCCUUCCUUCAUCCCAACUGGGCAUCGCAUAGGGCAAAUUGGAUCAAAGCAGUUCAGAUGUGUAGCAAACCCAGAGA